UACGUAGGUGGCAAGCGUUGUCCGGAUUUACUGGGCGUAAAGAGCGCGCAGGCGGCUGGGCAAGUCCGAUGUGAAAGCUUCCGGCUUAACUGGAAAAUUGCAUCGGAAACUGCUCGGCUUGAAGGUGGGAGAGGGUAGCGGAAUUCCCGGUGUAGUGGUGAAAUGCGCAGAUAUCAGGAAGAACACCAAUGGCGAAGGCAGCUUUCUGGGACGGUACUGACGCUGAGACGCGAAAGCGUGGGGAGCGAACAGG
rnacentral:rRNA from 1 species